rnacentral:rRNA from 1 species
UUCGCCAGGGUACUACGAGCAUAAGCUUAAAACCCAAAGGACUUGGCGGUGCUUUAGCUCCACCUAGAGGAGCCUGUUCUAUAACCGAUAACCCCCGUUAAACCUCACCUUUUCUUGUUUAUCCCGCCUAUAUACCGCCGUCGUCAGCUUACCCUAUAAAGGUUGACUAUAAGCAAAAUUGAUAUAAUCCAAAACGUCAGGUCGAGGUGUAGCACAUGAAAAGGAAAGAAAUGGGCUACAUUUCCUACUUUUAGGAUAUAACGGAAACUAAUAUGAAUACACAUUGAAGGAGGAUUUAGCAGUAAGUAAGAAAUAGAGAGCCUU